rnacentral:misc_RNA from 1 species
AACGCAUAUUGCACUCUGUUUCGGCAGAGUAUGCCUGUUUGAGAAUCUAUUGUAUUUCUUACCUCUUGGUGCUUUUCUCUCGGGACGAGCGCUACUAGGUAGAUUUGAGACAUGAAUGCCUGCAUUCUGUCUUUAAAUAGAUUGCCGCCUUGAUGGUGACUUUUUGUGUUUGAAUAGAACCUAGUUCUCGAUUACGCUUAGAGGCUCUAUCGUAGGGUGGUUCAUACCUAUAAAGACUAGUACCUUGGGAACGUCUUGAACCAUGGUCUCAAAUCAGGUAGGAAGACCCGCUGAACUUAA